rnacentral:sRNA from 1 species
GCCAGGUGUGGUGGUGCAGGCCUGUAAUCCCAGCAGCUCAGGAGGCUGAGGCAAGAGGAUCAAAGCCAGCCUCAGCAUCUUAUUGAGACCCUAAGCAACUCAGUAAGACCUUGUCUCUC